rnacentral:lncRNA from 10 species
CACAGUUCUAGAGGCGACUAGCAGUUUCCAUUUCUCCCUCCACAGCCCUGAGACCAUUAACUGCUGACUGUCAGCCCAGGAGCAUGAAAGCCCAGCUCAAAUCGGGGUGACUCUGAGGCAUUUCUUACCAACCGUUUCCCAAGGGAGCAAGGCUGAGGCUUCCCCUUGCAAGCCUGUUCCUUAGAUCUCACCUUGCUUCAUGUUAUGGGGUGCAUUGUAUCUAACCCAAAUUUUCAUGUUGAAGUCCUAACCUCCCCUACCUUAGAAUGUGAACUCAUUUGGAAAUAGGGUUGUUGCAAAUAUAAUUACUUAAAUUAAGAUGAGGUCAUACUGGAGUAGAUGGGUCUCUAAUCCAAUAGGGCUAGAGUCUUUAUCAAAAGAAGACAUUUGGACACAGACACAUACACAGAGAGGACACUGUGUGAAGACGAAGACAGAGAUUGGAGUGAUGCAUCUGCCAGCUGGGGAAUACUGAAGUCUGCCAGCAGCCACCAGCAGCCAGGAGAGGGACAGGGUGCAAAUUCUCCUUCACAGCCCUCAGAAGGAACCAACCCUGCUGACACCUUCGUCUUGGACUUUCAACAAUAUGAUUCUGUUGUGGGCUCUGUGAGGAGCAAAGGAAAGCACACCACAAGAGCCAGAGGGAGAGAGCUUGGCAGAACUCUGGAGGGAGCCUUUCCAAGACCUGCUUUUAGUGGAAGCUACAAAACCUCCUGGGAGGAGACUGAAUUCCAUGUUGGUGUUGCACUAUUGCUUUAAAGUGCCACCCUUUCCCUGGGACCAGCAGACAAUUGUACCCAUUAUUUUCUGGUUCUAAGGAAGGAUAAACUUCCUUCUAAGGCUUCAGGGAUGACAGAUGCCUUCUUGGAGGCUGAGAAGUCCAAGGUCGAGGGCCUGCAUCUGGUGAUGGCCUUCUUACUGGUGGGGACUCUGAAGCAUCCUGAGGUAGGCAGGGCAUCACAUGGUUGGAGCAGAAGGAACAGCCAGGGAAAUGCAUCCAUUUAACCUUCCAGACUCUGGAGUCCACCUUCUUUGUUUUAAGUAAAUUUUAGAUGCAGAGGCCAUGAACUCAGCUUAUAAUCAGCCUUAUUGCUCAUUCACUUAUUCCAUAUUCAAGAUAUUUAAUGCUCAUAUUGCUCUGACAACAUGCCAAGGAUCUUCAGCUGACACCUCCCUGCAUACUCUACUGGGUGAUAUCUCUUCUGAUUUGUUUUUGUGACUGUUCUGAUUAGUUGGACUCAUGCUAUACAGGUUAUUCAAUAUUUUGAAUAACAUCCUUGACUUAUAAAAUUGUAAUGGGAUAAUAGUUUAUAGUAUCAACCAAGGUUUGUUUGUUUGUUUUCUUUUUCCCUCAAGAAUCUCAUUAUAUUCCUGAUACUUCCUCAAUCAAUGUGUAAGAGCAUUCCAGCCUAUGGUAUUAGUCAGGAUAGGCCAGACUGUGCUGCAAUAAUAAACAGCUGCAAAAAUCUCAAUGGUUAAACACACAAUAGUUUAUUUCUCAUUCAUGCUACAUGUUCAUUGUGGGUCAGUGAAGGACUUUGCGCCAUAUAGUCACUCAGGACUCAGGCUAAAGCAGGUGCCGUCACCUUGUAGCUGUAUCAUUUGAGUGCAUGUCCUCCUUGAUAGGCACAGCAGAAGAAAGCACAUAAAAUUGUACAUGGAUGUAGGUAUGUGGCAGUCAUUAUUUUCACCCAUAUUUCAUGGCCAGAACUGGUCAAGUGGCCCUGCCUAACUGCAAGUGCUGGGCAAUGUAAGAGACCAAAUGGAAGUUUUGCCUCAUGGGAAAAAAGACUCAGCAAAUGUGCUGAGAAAAGAAAAAAGUGUCAACUGAGUUUUAAAAUAAACUAUCAAAACAUUUGGUAAUGAGCAUAUCUUGGAGACAAAAAAAUAUGAAAUUACAAGUACCAGGCUUUGAGCCUCAGAAACCAUACCUAAAGAACUCAAGAGCAAAACAUAUAUAUUUAUAAAUAUAAACAAGAGAUAAAAUACGUGAAGAGUUCUAAUGAUUGCUGGAAAAGAGAGAUAAGUCCGAGAGAAGAGUAAUGGGGUUAGAAACUCGUAUACAACUCUGCAAAGGGUCCUCCUGGGUUGAGACCCAGGGUCAGGGUAUGCAUGUUAAAAAUCCUGAGUAGGUUUGGUAAUAUUCAGGAGCAGGAGCAGAGCAGACCUGGACCUCUCUUCCCAGGAGAGUCUUGUGGAUAAGUCUCUUAUGAGAGUAUGGGUAUGACAAGCUAGAAAUGGCAGCCUAUGUGUCCAGGAGGAAAUGGUCUGAGAUAGGCUAUAUUAGUCCAUUCUCACACUGCUAUAAAGAAUACCUGAGACUGGGUAAUUUAUGAAGGAAGGAGGUUUAAUUGACUCACAGUUCCACAUGGCUGGGGAGGCCUCAGGAAACUUACAAUCAUGGUGGAAGGUGAAGGGGAAGUAAGUGCCUUCUUCACAAGAUGGCAGGAGAGAGAGAGUGCAAGGAAAACUGCCACUUUUAAACCAUCAGAUCGCGUGAGAACUCCCUCACUAUCACAAGAACAGCAUGGGGGAAACCACCCCCAUGAUCCAAUCAGCUCCCACCGGGUCUCUCCCUCAACACGUGGGGAUCACAAUUGGAGAUGAGAUUUGGGUGGGGACACAGAGCCAAACCAUAUCAUAGGCCUUUGCAUUUCUCAUUUCCUAAGAGAGCACAAACAAACAUCCAAAAGUUUCUGGGAUUCCCCAAGGAAGUGUCAGAUGCCCAAGGGAGAGGGCUAGAGAACCUGAGAGGGCCUUGUGCUUAGGAUAAGGGGGAUGCAGGGUGUGGGAAAAGACAGAUGACCAGGGAGCAGAUGGAAAACUCAGAUGCCACAGAGACACCAGCAGGGAAGACUAAUGACUGGACCUGCAGGGCCAUGAGGAUCUUGAGGACAGAUGACUAAGAACCAGAUCUGCCCUCCUCUCAGAUUCUUGGACACUCUUGACAUCCUUGCUUUAAUGUGCAGCCUCUUAACCUGUGAUCAAACUCUCCUCCAUCCCUGACCCCUAUGUGCCUCAGUCCCAGGACUGGGUCCUGGUCUCAGUUCUUGCCCACAUGCAGGACUCACUGGCAUUUGUUGAUGUAUCAGACACACCUGGACUGCUUCAGACUCUCUCAACCUCAUCUAUCUUCGGGACCCUUGGGGACUAGAGCCCAGAGUCUCUGGGUCCAUACAUCACUUUUGGCCUCAGAUGAAGUGCCACACCAAAGGGGGUGGAGUCUGGCUUCCUUGGUGACUACGUGAUGAAUCCCCAAAGUAGAAGGGAGGUAACUCUGAAUCCCCAAAGUAGAAGGGAGGUAACUCCUCUUGGGGCACACUUUGACCAAGGCGAAGCAUGUUACAGUGUAAACGGAUGGACUAAAUACUUCUGUAUUCCUCUCAGUGAGGGACUGUUCUGAAGGGUAAUGUUCUUCUACAGCUUACCUGGAGAUGUCUCCCAUGGCCAGGUGGCUGGCUGUAUCUGUGAAGCAGUGGGCCUCUCAGUAGCACUACUCUAUAUUGGCUUCUUACUCUUCCCUGCCUUUCUUUCCUUUCCCCUCAUUUUCCCAGCCCUAGGGUUUUCUUGCAAUAAAGCAUUGCACUUAAGCUUUGUCUCAGCCUGUUUUCUAGGGAAGGUAGGCUAAGACAUUUGAAGAUGUCCCAUGUGUCGGGAAGUGUAUGAGGUAAUUUCACAUAUGUGAUUCCAUUUCACCUUUACAACAACCUUGGGCAGGGAGGGCAUGACUUGACAAGGUCACCCAUGAGCAAAGAGUGGAACUCAAAUAUUUUUCAUUGAAAAAGCAGUUACUGACCAUGUUCUAGGCAUCGGGAAUACUGUGGUGAACCAUUCAGACACAGCUGCUACUCUUGUGAAACUUAUGGUCUGCUGGAGGAGGGCACAUAAUAACAAGUAAACAAAUCCAUAAACAAGAUAAUUGCAUAAUGUGCCAAGUUCUAGGGAGACAAAUAAGGCUAUGUGAUAGAGUGUGACUGGGAGAGGGGACACUUUUUUUCCAUGUAGUAUUGAGGGAAGGCCUCUCUGAGGAUGUGACACAAGGGCUGAGGCCUAAAUGAUCAGGCAGCCAUGGAAAGUUUUGGAGGAAAUGUUUUCCAGGCAGAGAAAACAGCAAGUACAAACACCUUUAGGCAGGAACGAGCUUGGAGAGUUUGGGAAGGAAGACCAGUGAUUUUUUUCAUCAUACUAUGCUUGGCCUAGGGUCUGGCUUUGAACAUUCCAGGCAUGGCAGUGACAGUGAUACUUGUAUUCGUUAUCUAUUGCUGCAUGACAAGGUAUCCCAAAACUGAGUGGCUGAAAAAAGCAACAAUCAUUUUUUUCAUGGUUUCUGUGGGUGAGGAACUUAGGAGCAGCUUAACUGGUCAGUUCUUGUGUAGGUUCUCUCAUGAGGCUGCAGUCAGGAUAUAGGCUAUGGCUAUAUCAUCCGAAGACUUGACUGGGGCCAAAAAAUUUGUUUCUAAGAUGACUCAGUCACAUGGUUGGUUAGUGUUAGCUGUUGGUGAACAGCCCCAGUUCCUCCCUAACUGGGCCCCUCCAGAGGACUCUAGUUUCCUCUUGACACGCGACUGGCUUUCCCCAGAGUAAGUGAUCCAAGAGAGUAGGGCAGACACCACAUUGUCUUUGAUGGUCUAUCUUUGGAAGCCAUAUACCAUCAUUUCUGUAUUGUUCUUUUAGCCACGCAGACCUGCCCUGAAACAGUGUAGGAGGAUACUACCCAAGAUUGUAAACACCAGAUGACAAGGAUUGGGGCCAUAUUGAAGACUGCUUACCACAGUGCCCAAAUGCUGUAACAAUAUCUAGUUUGAUGUGCUCUCUUCCCUCUCUUGGUUUGCCUUCAUUCACAAACUAUCCCUAUAUAGGAAGAUGGAUCUCAAAAGCUCCAGGCUUCUACAUUUCAAGUCUAAAAUAAAGGGCCUUAUUUUUCCCAAUAUCUCCAAGAAAAUCCCUGGAAUUGAAUCCCAUUGACUUUGAGUACAUGCUAUCAUUUCUGCAUUAUUCUGUUGGCCACACAGAUCAACUCUGAAACAGUGAAGGAUACUGCCCAAGAUCGUUGGGUGUGAAGAUUGUUCAUCAAGAUAAUUGGCUUGAUCCAUUUCUUGCUCAAUGUCUAUGACUGGGGGGAAGGGUGGGGUCAACCCCACCAAAGUCACAUGGACUGAGAGUCGAGGAGAUGCAGUGUCCUCAAAGGAAAACUAGGGUUUUAUUAUGAGAAGAAAGUAGAAUGGAUAGCGGGUGGGUGGAAAUAGCAGGUGUGUGUACUACACCUAUAAUCAGGAUCUCUCCUCCCCUUCAUCCUUAUCCAAGUUGGCCCUUAGAAAAAUGGAAAUAAUUUGAAAAGUUCACUUUGAUUGAGGUACUAAAACAACCAAUGUCACAUUAAGAGUUACUCUUCUUUGCAUUUGAAAAGGGAAUAUGAUUUUAUUCCCAAAGAAUGAAACUAUGAUGAGGUAAUUUCAGGCAUUCAUAAAAACGACAUGGUAGUCUUUUGGGAUAGGGAAGUGAAAGUGUCCUGAUGCCUCUCAAAUCAGGCUAUAUCUACAGUCAUAUUGCCAACCACCCUGCAUCUAUCUUAUGUCACUUUUUAAAAAUAGUUUUACUGAGGUAUGCUUGAUGUACAAUUACUCAUAUUUAAAGCAUAUGAGUUGAUAAAUUUUAAAUAUGCAUACAUCCAGAAACCAAUCAAUAAAAUCUCUGUUGUUAUUAGCUGUGUAAACAUUUAGAAUUGUUAUGUCCUCUAGGUGAAUUCACCACUUUAUCAUUAAAAAAUGACCUUGUUUUUUCUUUUUUUUUAGAGACAGGGUUUCACUCUAUCAUGCAGGCUGGAAUCCAGGUAUGCCAUCAUUGCUUACUGCAGCCUUGACCUCCUGGGUUCAAGCGAUCCUCCUGUCUCAGCCUCCUGAGUGGCUGGGACUAUAGGUUUGCAUCACCAUGCCCAGCUAUUUUUUUAAAUUUUUGUUUGUAUUUUGUAGAGACAGGGGUCUCUCUAUGUUGCCCACGCUGGUCUUGAACUCCUGGCCUCAAGAGACCUUUCUGCCUCCCAAAGUGCUAGGAAAUACAGGUGUGAACCACUGGACCUGGCCAGAAAUGACUUUUUAAAAUCCCUGGUAAUAUUCUUUGCUCUUAAAUAUACGCUAUCUGAUAUGAAUACAGCACUUACUUUAUUCCCAGCAUUGUUCCAACCACACGCCAUUGCAUGCAUUGCUUCAUCAAACUUCAGCAGUAACCUUACAAGCAAGGUGUAGGGAAUUUAGGUAGUUUGUUCAAGAUCAAGGUUUGAACCUGACUUUAGAAUCCACCUUAUUCACCAAUACAACAUUAAAAGGAACUGUAUCGAGCCAUGGAAUUAAAAUAAAACAAUUAUAAUACUUUGAGAAUGAGGCAUUUCAUGUCAGAAUAUCAGAUAAAGAUAGCCAGGCAAAGUUACCUCUGCUCUCUGAAUGCAGUAUUUUUCUUUUGAAAACUCACGCACAAGAACCCCCUUGGAGGCUUGCUUGCUUUGACAGCUCAUAGAGGUUAUUCACUCAGCUUUUAGUCCUCUACUUCCUCAGAC